rnacentral:rRNA from 1 species
CCUACGGGGCGCUGCAGUGGGGAAUAUUGGACAAUGGGCGAAAGCCUGAUCCAGCCAUGCCGCGUGUGUGAAGAAGGCCUUCGGGUUGUAAAGCACUUUCAGUGGGGAAGAAAGCCUUGGGGCUAAUACCCUCGAGGAAGGACAUCACCCACAGAAGAAGCACCGGCUAACUCCGUGCCAGCAGCCGCGGUAAUACGGAGGGUGCGAGCGUUAAUCGGAAUUACUGGGCGUAAAGCGCGCGUAGGCGGUCUGAUAAGCCGGUUGUGAAAGCCCCGGGCUCAACCUGGGAACGGCAUCCGGAACUGUCAGGCUAGAGUGCAGGAGAGGAAGGUAGAAUUCCCGGUGUAGCGGUGAAAUGCGUAGAGAUCGGGAGGAAUACCAGUGGCGAAGGCGGCCUUCUGGACUGACACUGACGCUGAGGUGCGAAGGCGUGGGUAGCAAACAGGAUUAGAUACCCCGGUAGUC